rnacentral:rRNA from 1 species
UACAGAGGUGGCAAGCGUUGUUCGGAAUUACUGGGCGUAAAGGGCGCGUAGGCGGCCUUCUAAGUCAGACGUGAAAUCCCCCGGCUUAACCUGGGAACUGCGUCUGAUACUGGGAGGCUUGAGUAUGGGAGAGGGAUGUAGAAUUCCAGGUGUAGCGGUGAAAUGCGUAGAUAUCUGGAGGAAUACCGGUGGCGAAGGCGGCAUCCUGGACCAUAACUGACGCUGAGGCGCGAAAAGCGUGGGUAGCAAACAGG